rnacentral:rRNA from 1 species
CCUACGGGAGGCAGCAGUGGGGAAUAUUGCACAAUGGGGGGAACCCUGAUGCAGCGACGCCGCGUGAGUGAAGAAGUAUUUCGGUAUGUAAAGCUCUAUCAGCAGGGAAGAAAAUGACGGUACCUGACUAAGAAGCCCCGGCUAACUACGUGCCAGCAGCCGCGGUAAUACGUAGGGGGCAAGCGUUAUCCGGAUUUACUGGGUGUAAAGGGAGCGCAGACGGCUGUGCAAGUCUGGAGUGAAAGGCGGGGGCCCAACCCCCGGACUGCUCUGGAAACUGUAAAGCUGGAGUGCAGGAGAGGUAAGCGGAAUUCCUAGUGUAGCGGUGAAAGGCGUAGAUAUUAGGAGGAACACCAGUGGCGAAGGCGGCUUACUGGACUGCAACUGACGUUGAGGCUCGAAAGCGUGGGGAGCAAACAGGAUUAGAUACCCUGGUAGUC